CACCGACGCACGCGCCACCGCCACCGUCCGGCGCCGCCGCCUUCUCGGCGUCCACUAGCCGCCUCGACCCCGCGCGGGAGCCUCCCCUGCCCGCGCCACCUCCCUACCUUCCCCGGCCGCACCGCCUACCUCCCUCCUCCGCCGUUUCCAGCCGCCGGCGCCGACCCGGCCCACGUACGCCUCCCCGCCGGCUAUCCUCCGCAAGGGCCGCCUCCUGACCACCACCCGGCGCCGCCUCCCCGCCCUUGUCGCCGUGAGGUGGAGCCAGCACCGCCGGUGCCCAGGCAAGUUUCUUCAUUACAAUACGACUGAACGUGUGACUCUUGAGAUUUUGUGAAUAUUGAAGCACCAUUCGAGGAAGGUCAGAUAUUGUAAAUGGAUAGCCUUCUUAAGCGGUGGUGGGACGAAGAGGAGGAAUCUGACGAUGAUGACCUCUUCCUGGCUGGUGCCGUUCUUACUGGAUUGAAAAGGAAGCAGAGCGAGAAGA